rnacentral:rRNA from 1 species
UACAGAGGGUGCAAGCGUUAAUCGGAAUUACUGGGCGUAAAGCGUGCGUAGUCGGUUAUCUAAGUCGGGUGUGAAAUCCCCGGGCUCGACCUGGGAAUUGCAUUCGAUACUGGAUAGCUAGAGUUCGGCAGAGGGAAGCGGAAUUUCGGGUGUAGCGGUGAAAUGCGUAGAUAUCCGAAGGAACAUCAGUGGCGAAAGCGGCUUCCUGGACCAGAACUGACGAUCAGGCACGAAAGCGUGGGGAGCAAACAGG